CUCCCGCCGGCGACCGGCGCACGGGUGAGUAACACGUAUGAAACCUGCCCGUAGCAGGGGGAUAAGCGGAAGAAAUUCCGUCUAAUACCGCGUAACAACCCGAGGAGGCAUCUCCUCGGGUUUAAAGGAAGCGAUUCCGGCUACGGAUGGUCAUGCGUCGCAUUAGCUAGUUGGCGGGGUAACGGCCCACCAAGGCGACGAUGCGUAGGGGUUCUGAGAGGAAGGUCCCCCACACUGGUACUGAGACACGGACCAGACUCCUACGGAAGGCAGCAG
rnacentral:rRNA from 1 species